rnacentral:lncRNA from 1 species
CCGGCAAUACUUAAAAGCCUUUCUACAGGAGCUUAUGUGUGGGAAAUGGCUAAAUACUUGAUAGCUGUAUUAACCAAAGAAGAAAGGCACACUGAAUUUGACUUCCAUUAUUCCAGUGCAUUGAUUGAAAUUUCUUCACAUGGCUCAGACAAGUAGAUGUCAACAUCAUGUACUGCACCGUACCUGUGUCUAUACCCUUUGAUUGAGUAGUAGGAGGCAUGAAACUGAAAAAGUCACUUUUAAGUUUCUUAGGUGGUGGUAAAAAAUAAAUAAAUUAUCAUAUAAUUUUGUUUCUAACAUUGAUCACUUAAUCAUUAAGACAUCAUUAAGGAUUUCAAAGGGAUAUAAUAAAUGUGUCAUUAAAGGAUUAUCUUGUGAAAUGCCUAAGGGUUCUGUGAGGACAAAC